AAAACAAGAAGACACAGGAAGGCAUCUUUUUGAAGCUUUUAAGAGAAGGGCAAAAGCAAGAAAGGACAGACUAAAUCUCUUCUUGUGAACUGAGCACAGAUCUACCCUGGAUUCUGCCAGCACAGCUAUUUCGGUCGGGA